AGUCAAGCCCAGAUCGCGUGUCGUCAAGUUUAAUUUGAAUAGAAUAAAAUCGUAAUGGUGGACGGCGUUCGGUGUAUCGGGCGAUAUGUUAUGCUAAAAAUGAUGUGAUUAGUGGAUCGGUGGUGAUCUUCUAGUGUAUAAUUGUAAAUAGUAACCUGUCAAGGAAUCGUAUUCGUUACACACUGGAUACUGCCGUUGACGAUCCUCUCUUAUGAAAUAUUAUGAGAGAAUAACACCACCGCGCUUUUCAUUAACCACUAGACAAGAGAAAGAAUUGGAGUGGUUAGAUAAUGGAUCAUCAAACAGGACGAAAGCAAAUAGCCUCGCCUGAAAUUGCGCUAGCUAACGAGGUUUUUGAUCAAUUCUGCAAUGCCUCUACUCUCAAGUCAAUUCUUGGUCACUUUCGUCAUUUAUGCGACCUACUCAAGCUCAAGCCCAACAACAUCAAUCAAUUUUAUCCAAAGUUGAAAUCAAAGUUAAGAUCUUGGAAGGCGCAGGCUUUGUGGAAAAAAUUUGAUCAACGUGCCAACCACAAAUGUUACAACAGGGGCAAAGCAUGUCCAAAUACAAGGGUUUUGAUCAUCGGUGGCGGUCCUUGCGGCCUGAGAACAGCGAUAGAGGCGCAAUUGUUAGGAGCGAAGGUUGUGGUUGUUGAAAAACGAGAUCGUGUAACUAGGAAUAAUGUGCUCCAUCUCUGGCCCUUCGUUAUUCAAGAUCUUCGCGGUCUAGGUGCGAAGAAAUUUUUUGGAAAAUUUUGCGCCGGAGCUAUAGAUCACAUUAGUAUUAGACAGCUGCAGUGUAUUCUGCUCAAAGUUGCCUUGGUACUCGGAGUUGAAUUCCAUGAAAAUGUCAGCUUCGAAGCUUUGGUACCACCCCCUGAAAACCAGGAGGACGGUAAAAUUGGUUGGAGAGCGCAAAUUACACCGGUAGAGCAUCCCGUUUCUCAAUAUGAGUUUGAUGUGCUCAUUGGUGCCGAUGGUAAACGAAAUACUUUAGAAGGUUUCAAGCGAAAGGAAUUUAGAGGAAAAUUAGCCAUUGCGAUUACCGCUAAUUUCAUAAAUAAGAAGACUGAAGCAGAAGCUCGAGUAGAGGAGAUUAGUGGUGUUGCUUUUAUUUUCAAUCAAAAAUUCUUUAAGGAAUUGUAUCAAGUAACGGGUAUUGAUUUGGAAAAUAUUGUCUACUACAAAGAUGACACCCAUUACUUCGUCAUGACUGCCAAAAAACAUAGCCUUAUUGAUAAGGGUGUUAUUCUUCAGGAUCAUGCUGACACAGCUAAGCUUCUAGCGAUGGAAAACGUUAACCGAGAAGCAUUGAUGCAGUACGCGAGCGAGGCUGCAGAGUUUUCCACGGAGUAUCAGAUGACUAACAUGGAAUUUGCAGUCAAUCAUUACGGGCAGCCGGAUGUCGCGAUGUUUGAUUUUACGUCAAUGUAUGCUGCGGAAAAUGCUAGCAGAGUUUUAGAGCAAAAAGGACAUCGUUUGUUGACGAUUUUGGUUGGAGACAGUUUAUUAGAACCAUUUUGGCCAACAGGAUCUGGGUGCGCUCGAGGAUUUCUCAGCUCUUUAGACGCCUGUUGGGCUAUCAAAGGAUGGAGCACCUUGACUCCUCUGGAAGUUUUAGCUGAACGAGAAUCAAUUUAUAGACUCCUUGGGCAAACGACACCUGAGAACCUUAAUCGAGACUAUGCUGCUUACACGUUAGACCCACACACCAGAUACCCAAAUCUGAACACCCGUUUAGUUACACCCAUUCAAGUUCGAGGCCUUUUGGAUACUGAUGAUCCUGAUAAUAUUGAGCAACCUUCUAUGCAGCCUGCCGUAGACAUCCCUAAAAAGCGGCGCCGCAGGGAUAUUGGAACAGACUCUCAGGUCCACCCAGACGUUCUUCUGCAUUGGUUGCGAAAACAAGUGGCUCUCUAUGAUACGGUCCAUAUAGCUGAUAUGGGAAAUUCAUUCAAAGAUGGUCUAGCUAUCUGCGCUAUCAUUCACAGAUACAGGCCGGAUCUUAUUGAUUUUCACUCUCUGAAACCAGAAGACAUUGAAAAAAAUAAUCAACUUGCAUUCGACACACUGGAAAAGGAGUUAGGUAUCACACCGGUAUUUACUGGCGAUGAAAUGACAUCUUGCGAUGUGCCUGAUAAACUGGCUAUGUUCUCAUAUCUUACUCAGAUAUACGAAACGUUCAGAGGUGAAAUUCCACACAUUAAACAUCCCAAACUGGAACUUGAAAACGAAGAUCGCCCAGCAUUCACGAAACAGUUGAGCCAAUUGACUCCCGAACAAAAAGCACAAUUACUGGGUCGGAUUACUAAACAAGAUUCCACUGUUCGCGCUAGACACUCUCGUUCUAGGCAUGGAACGGAACAUGCUCAGCCAGCAGGGGAUAAAAAAGUUGAUUCAAUGAGCCGGCGAUCCAGAAAACGGCGUAGUACAGACAAAAUGGGCGCUACAGUGGAAGAAAGGCAGAAGAGACUGGAAGAUAUAGAAAAAAAUCGAACUGAGCGAAUGAUGAAGCGUCAGUUUUUACGAAAAAUGGCUACCCAGCAAUUCUACAAAAGUAUGCAGAUGCUGCAGGCGAAUGCAAAACGAGACAAAGACGAACCUUUUGAAGAUUACUCAAUAUUUCUCUAUCGACAAACUGCCCCCGAUUUUAAAGAUCGGGUGAAAGAAUUAGAACAGAAAAUACUCUAUCCAGAUAGGGAUCCAAGGGGUACUAGUAGCCAGCAAAGAGGCGGUGCUGAUGAGGAAUUUUCCGGCAGAAUAAAAAAUAUCGAAGAUAAAUUAAGAGGUACAGCACCUACUGAAAAAAAGCCUAGAGAUCUUCUACGUGCUAUCGGUAAGAUAGAGAGAAGCGAUUGGAACGUUAAAGAAAUAGAAAAGAAGAUUGAAGAAAACAAAAUGGGGCGCGGAGCUCGUCAACAGAAAGUAGAAAGAGUGCCUAAAUGGAGUCGAGAGCAGUUUUUAGCUCGUCAGAUAAAGAUGGAGAAGAAGGGGCGAGAUCCAAAUGAUUCAGAUAGCAAGUAUGCUGAUAUUGACAAUACCCUCAAAUGUAUUGACAAGAAGAUUAAGGAGGGUAACGUUCUUGGUCAUAAUAAAGUCUCUGCUAUGGCGGAACAAUUUUCGAAUAAGAACCAAGAAGCUGAAUCAAAAGUCCAGAGAUCGAAUUCUAAGGCAGCACUCGUUUUGCCUGCGAAGGGGGGCUCGGAGAUGUGUCAUUUUUGUAACAAGCGGGUUUAUUUAAUGGAAAGGCUUAGCGCUGAGGGCAAAUUUUUUCAUCGAGGUUGUUUCCGUUGCGAAUAUUGCUCUACCUCUCUCAGAAUUGGAAGCCACAUGUUUGACAGAGAUAAAAAUGGAGGGCGGUUCUACUGUACACAGCACUUUGGAUUAUCAGGCACUCUUAAAGCCAGGACGGAGAAGAAGAAGAUAUCUCUUAUCAACAAAGAGAACAUGCCUAAUCUGACAGCAGCUUUAAAGACUCCAGAAAAACCCAAAACACCUUUGGAGGGAGUUGUAGGACUGGACUUGUUGGACCGAGGCCAAACGCCAGAGAGAAUUGAAUUUGAAAAUUUGGCUGGAUUGUCAGAUGCAGAGGAAGCUCGUAGUCAAAUGGAUGAAGAUGAAUGGACGGAUCGCAAUUUCGGUGCAUCCACUGCAGAAAUGGGAUCCAGUGAUGAGAUAUUUGGCAUGAGUGAUUCCGACGAUGACAAUGAGGUUUUCGAAGAGGCGUUAGACCAACCGCUCACUACGGAAGGAACCUUAGAACUUGCGAAAAAUUGGACUCUGCGCUACUCCCAUCCACAUGCCUCUGGACAUCACUCAGACUCUGGAAGCAACGAGUAUGAAGACUCAAGUGAUGAAUAUACAACAGAAGAGGAUGAAAGUGGUACGGCAACCGAAGAUGAAGAUGAGGUUCGUGCACGGGAAUUGAGAAAGCAAGAAGUUUGGCUGGAAGUACCACCAGGAGGUUCAGACACUGAUACCGGUUCAGAUACAGAGGUUGCUUCGGACGACGACUCUGCCGAAGAUAGCGAUGACAAUUCUGCCACGGAAAUAUCAACAGACUCGGAAUUCGAACACGAUGGCACAACACCCACUCAACACGAAAUUCCAGAAAUCACAAUAAAUGACUCCCACGUUCGAAAAAGCAGAGGCAACUAUAUCGAACCCAGAAGAGUGCAAGUAAAGAGUCACGUUAUAUCACCGGUGAAUGGAAAUUUGAAGGAAAACAAAACUUCAGGUGUAAAAUUGGAAUUCUCCAAACUUAAGGCUAGUGAAGAAUCUGCUACUUCACCCAGUCCAACAAAUUUGUACUCUGCGCAAGCUAGUCCAAAAGUAGCAUCACCGAGUCCGCUCGUUAAUCCCCGCAAAGGUGAUUACCUGCUUAAUCGGACUCAUUCCACAGAAGGUAUAGCCUCGAAGCUAUCCUUGGAACUUAAGAAACGGUACUUACUCGGUAGUUCAGCAUUUACUGGGUCUGUCAUGAAGUCUGGAUCCACAUCAAAUGUUGAUACGAAAUUGAGAAGCAUCACGGAUGUCAUUUCUCAGCACCAAAAACUCCUGAAUCCUGCUCCAGAACCAAGCCCAACUAUGCAAGCAUUUCUUCAAGGCACCAAUAAACUCCAUACCACCAACGUUCAACUCUCUCCUCUGUCACCAACAGCUUUAUUUUCGAAUUCACCUUUGAAAGGAGCUUCAAUCGGUCAGUCGCAGAAAAUACUCUCCGACAUGAGGUUGAAGAAAUUGGCUGAUCUUUCAGAUACGUCAAAAAUACCAUUGCCCGACUUAUUGAAAGAAACGAGUAUUAUGAAGUCUAGAACAGAUCCAAACAUCGUUCAUAAAGAUUCGCAAAAAAUUAUAGACAGGAAAUUGAUAGAGCAAAUAGUUCCUGAAAGUGAUGGAAAAUCCACAGCAAUAGUAUCAGAGGAAGCAAAAACCAAUGAGGUAGCCACCGAUGAAAAUAUCGACUGCAGGCCCAGGAGUCCAUUGCAUGAAACCUCUAUCAUUGUUCCAGAAGUUGAUUGGCAUAAAUCUACUAAGGAAGUAUGUAAGGAAACGGAAACAUCGGAGGAUUCAGAAAUGGAUAGCGAUUCUUUAUCGUCUAGUGAAACAGAAUUAGAAGGAAUAGUUGAGAAAGGUGAGCCUUUAGCUGCCAAUUUAUCGCCCCCGAGGUUACAAAUUCAUAGCACCAGUGGAGAAUUGUUAUUAGAUGAAGAAACUGGCAGAGACAAUGAGGCUGAGGUCGGUGUCACCUUUGAACCAGACUCAAUUGAAUGCAUAAGAGUGCAAGAUGCGCGUGUUUUACCUUUGGAAAUGAGUGAAGCGUCUGAAAAUCGUUCAUUUGGCAAUGUACAAACUGUGCUAACUGAAACCGAAAACAUGAAUAAUAAAUUGAAUCAGUUGGAACCGAAAGAUGAGGGGAGGAAAACUCCAAGCAAUUGCAGCAGCCCAACGUCUGCUGGCUCUGGAACUUCGAUUAAACAAGAUGAUUCAGAAGAAAAUGACAUCACUACAGCUGCUCUCACGGAAACUGAAUUCUCAGAAUGGGCCAGAGACGGGGAAGGUUUAGUUUCUGAGGAUUUGCGUGACGUCGAGUUUAACAUCAAUCCAGAGUUUAUAACUAAAAGAAGAAACAAGCUUUACAAACACGCUAAUCUUUCUAAUGACAAUAUUCCUGUUAGAAUAGCCAAAGAAGAAGAUUCCACAGACUUAGAUUUUGAUUACAAUAGAAUAAACAGAGGAAUUGAACUCCCAGUUAAUCACACCUCAAAGCUGCUUGCUAAUGGUGAGAAUAUUGAUUUCAUGGAUACCGAUAAUGAGUCUCUCCUGGACGACAGUCUUCAAGAUACUACAAAUACCGCAUUAUUAAAAAAUAGAGGAUACGUUGAAUUUGUCAACGUCAAAGCGUUGCCGCCCAUGAAAGUUCCAAUUGAUAGCAAGUCUGAGGCUCCUAUUGCGGAAACGGAGUUUGACCAUGAAUCGUUUUCUGAGAAUGAACAGUACAAAGACGAAAAUGUCAUUGAGAUAAAUCCUAUAACGAUGGAUGACAUCAAAGAUAGAUUGAAUAGUGCCAUCAAUAAAAAUGUCAAAUUCGUGAACUAUGAAAACUCUAUUACUGGAAUAAGUGAAAGUGAAGUAUCUGGAGAAGCUGCUAAAAAGGAAGUUUGUCAAUCAAUGGAUGAGGAUAGUCUUUUAGUUGUGGAACCUGCUGAAGAUACCACAACUAGUGAGAUCAUAACUGUUCUUGCGAGUCCCAUAAAUCCACAACCUUUGGCAGUUCCAAAUCAGCCUGAAUUGGUCAGCAAUGAAGUUACAAAGCUCAUCUCUUCGCAAGAUGGGAGCAAUCCCGAUUAUUUAGAGUAUGUUAAACGUCUGCAGUCCAGAAUCGCAGAGUUUAGUAAUGCAAAGGAUUCGAUAGAUGUAAGGAAAGCAAAAAGAAAGAGUUCCAAGGGUUCCGCACAGUUACGUUCACAAGAAAUGAUAGCAGAGGAAGUCAAAAGUCAAGAACUUCAAGCUAAUAAUAGUUUAAAUUCUCCGGCAACAUCUAGAAAACUAGAAGAGAUCACAAGAGAACGAUCUAAACAAAAAAAUCUGAUCCAAGAUAUAUUAAUGGACAAAUUACAGGCUCAUAAAUUGAAGUCAGCUGAGAAAAAAGCCAAGAGAGCUGCUAGAACAUCUUCUUUCAGUCCUGGUACUGCAAUUUCUCCGGUCAAACCGUUUCAAACUCCCGGAUCAUCGCCAGCGCCACUGAAGUUUGUUCCAACGUCUAUAAUUACACCAACAAAUAGCCCAGUGCACACCACUUUUGCCGAAGCACAAAAAACACUCGACAUGGAAACACCGGCAAUUAGCAUUGUGCAAACCAGCAGAGCCGAACAACCAAACAUCAGACCACCGGAAGAAGCGAUGUUGAAGGUUGGUUCAGAGAAAUCGGCUGGGUCAAUCAGUUCUGAUUUAAUCCUUGCUGAGAUUAAUGCAUCAAAAGGUUACGCUGAUGAAUUUAGAACUCCCAAAGCUCCGCCGAGAACCAAACAUGAGGAAGCUAGGAGAACAGCAGAGAAAGCAAAGCAAGAUGCAAGAGCACGUGCAAGGCUCAAAAGUGACGAGGACUUGGGAUUAAGCCCAGAAGACAGGAUAAAAGAACUGAGAUUGAAAGUAGCAAGAACACAGCUUUCUAUGGAAGAAAGAAGGAAAGCUAGCGAGAAAAUAACACCGGAAAUAAGACCCCGGCAUUAUAGUUUCAGCUCUGCGAGACCUGGACAUAAAUUGCAAACUAGUAAAAGUACAGACAAUGUAAAAGCCUGUGCAAAGAAAGUCAACAUUGAAUCUAAAUUGCCUGGAAAUGCUAAGUCUAUGGAUGAAUUAGUGCAGUCCUCGGAGAUCGUGAACGAAGAAAGUCAUGUUUCUGUGAAUAAAAGAGAAAAGAAAAAAUCAAAGGAUCCGGAGAGAAGGAAGAGUAUUAUUCAAGCCGUUUCUGACUUUUUCAAGAAAAAAGAUUCCUCCCCAUCGCCACCAAACCAGAAGGAAAAGUUCUCAAGGUUCAGACUGACGCCCAAGUCCAAGGAAAAGGGAAAGUUGUAUAAGUCAUAUUCGGAUGGGUCAGAUCUCGAUAAGGAACCUUCUCAGAAAUUUGAGCACAGACCCAAGAGUGUUUGCGAAGGAAUGUUGGUUGGAAGUUUCUUAGAUGACGAUCCACCACCCGUUCCACCUCCACCAAUUGAUUAUGCUCUCAGCGCUUCCCAACUCUCAGAUGAUACUUUAUCCGAAGAAGAUUCCAAGGCAGCACCUAUGUCAGCUACGCAAGCACAUAGAGCGUCAUUGGCAGACGAUUCGUGUAACAGCAUGCAACGGAAAGAGAAAUCGGCCAGAAGGCUAGCUAGGCAGACCCAACUGAAGAGAUUACGAAUGGCUCAGGAGAUACAGAGAAAAUUGGAAGAAACCGAAGUCAAACAAAGAGAAUUAGAGAGCAGAGGCGUCAGUGUGGAAAAAGCCCUCCGUGGUGAAGGAGAAUGUUCAAACCGUGAAGAGGCCGAUUUGCUCAGCGAAUGGUUCGACUUGAUGAGAGAACGAACAGAAUUGCGAAGAUAUGAAAAAGAAUUAUUGGUACGGGCUCAGGAAGUUCAACUAGAAGAUCGACAUGAACGUUUACAGCAAGAACUGCGCGAACGCUUAGCUGACGACGAUGAGAAAAAGACCAGCGCCGAUGUGAAAAAGGAGGGUGAAAUCCUUACGGAAAUGUUGGAGAUUGUAGCAAAGAGAGACUCGUUGAUUGCGCUACUAGAAGAGGAGCGACAAAGGUGGCGUAGACCCUCGUGCCCAACACUCACUGCACCUGCCACAGCCACUGUCACUCCUAAUGGCACGACUAACAAUCCUUCGAUAAAUCCAACAACCCCAAUAUCGUAUACCUUCAUCCUACUGGCUAUUUUUAUUGCCUAUAUGCUUUCGUUACAUGUAGUAGAAUUUUGCAUCGGAUUCCAUAAAGAAUCCUUAGUAUUUUUUACCUGAAUGUAUUGUGAACUACAUUCCAAAAUUUGAAUCACAAAAAAUGUGUAUGCUAGUUACGAGUGUAGUAAACUUUACUCGUAGUGUAGCUAACUUAGACUGUUUGAAAGACAGCAUGAACAUGAUUUGCUUGAAAAAUUUGUAAUGCUUUCAUUUGAGUAGUCUGCAUGAGUAUUAUCGUAGCUCUUAGUAUAAAACUCAUUUGAAUAAUGUGACAAUUUUGCUAUGCGACCAGAUUUGUAAGUAGUUUUAUUCAAAAGUUAAAUCCAAGCUUGAGACGAUGCGGAACUAAUACAUCGCGUGUGCCUUUGUCCUACAGCUCCUGACAACGUUGUAUGAGCCAGUAUAGUAUGUAUAUACUAAUGACAAAUAUUGGAUACAAAACUUUUUUCGUAUGUGAUGCGGUUGUUACAAAUGGAAACUAAAUACCUGGAGUUUUAAAGCUAUGCUAAUCUAAUCGAAUACUUUCAUUAAUUCCUAAUCAUGUACAAUGGAUCGUGACAGGCCCAUUAUUAGAACAGUUAAUAAUGCUUGGAAAAUUUUAUUUUAUUAAUUCAUGUAGAUCAAAUCUCUCAUGAAUGUGAUACCUUUAUUUUUUAUCAUCAGCACUCGAAAGUUUAUCAUGGAAUUUAUUUAUAUAGACUAGAAAAAACACUGUUGAUUAUUUUUAUUUUUAAUUUCAUGUUACUCGUAACUUAUUUCGUCCGAGAAAUGCGUUUGAAUUCAUUUUCAAACAUCGAUUCGCUGCCAGACAGGUGCACUAAGAAGAUUAUAAUGGUGUGCGUUAACCCACAACUAUUGAUAUAUAAAAUUUUCAUGUUACUGCGAAACUAACUUGAGGUAGAAAUUAUAAAAAUUAUCAAAAAAUUUUCGCAAAUAUUCAGUGAAAACUAAUAUGCUACACAUCAUGCCUACUCGUAACUUCAUUUAAAAUGCUACAGUAGUUUAUUUCGAGCCGCAAACUGUUAAAAUUUUCGCAAAUCAUCGCCUAGACAGACCUAUGUGAUUCCCAUGAUUCUUUUUGUUCCUCGUAAUGACUUAUACAUAAUCAGAUAACAUUACUGCCUAUAAACAAAUAUUUUUCAAUAACAAAAUAAAUUCAAUUAACACAACUGACAACGAGUACAUAAUCACACUCACAUGCGAUAAAAAAGACAAUGGGCAGAGGGUAGUAAGAAUUCGGCACGUCUUGGCUUGAUAAAAGAAAAAAAAAAAAAAAUGAAAAAAAAAACCUGCACGUUGCAUUUCAGACACAGAUCUGGUACCAAGACGAAGAUCGUGACCUUGAGGCUCAAAUGUUGGCCAAGGGUCUGAGGUUGACCCCCAUAAAAAAAUCAUCGUCACCUUGAGACUACACAGGCGCACGUACUCUGCUUUGUCUUUUCAGAUGAAAGCGUUAUUCCAAACAUCAUUCUCUAAUUUUCAUAUCGCAAUUCACUACUAAUGUUGAUGCUGAAUUUAUUUGCUUGUGACCACAAAAUAUUUUAACUGACAAAACUCAAACUAUAAUCAUAGUUGAGGAAGUAUGCUACGAAUUUAUAGAAAAAGAUAUGCAAGUUUUUUAUUCCAUUUUUGGAAAGAAAAAAAAAAGGAAGAACAGUGAAACGAAAUCGUGAUAUGUAUAAUGCUAGAAAUUAAUAAGGCUUUGAAGAUCUAUUUUUUACGUUUUGAAUAGACCGGAGUGAUAGUUUAAAUUGAAAAAGGAAGAAAAAAGAAGGAAUGUUAACCGACCGUUAAUAUUAAAUGUAAAUAGGUCACAAUUUAUAGUCGAAUUAUCCUAUUCGAUAAUUAAAUAGCUCGGUUUAUUUCCUUUUGAGAGAAAUAAUGCAGCGUAUUUUAGAUCAAUUGAUUGAUUUGAAUCAAUAAACUACAAAACGACGAUCUAAUUUGUAGCACCAGCCAUGAGUCAACGACUUCAAGACUCAUUGCUUACAAGAUAUGUAAUUCAAAGUAAAAAAUGGUCCCGUUUUGAAUAAUCUAAUACCAGUCGACAGGAUUAAGCCAUCCAAAUUAAGUUAACCAGUAUGAGUUAUUCGACCGUAUGAAGUUAUAGCUCAUAUACCUGAAUCAUAAAACAUUAUACUUAUGUCCAAUAAAUGUGUAUUAAUAUGAUACCAGGUACGAUAGCAUAUGUGACGCUCAAUGAAACAGAAGAAGAGAGACCCAAAACGCAGGAGAACCUAAAUUUGUACAAGAUUUGUCUACUGGUGAAUCAAUGUUGAUGAAUUUAAUUAUAAUUUGUGAUAGUAACACCUCAGAGAAAUGGUAUAUUUUGUAUGUCUAAAUGAAAUGUGUGCCUCGUAUGUGGAAUUAAUAUGACGAAAAAAAACUGUGAAACUUGAGCUUGCUUUUUACCUGGCAUUAUGCUGCGUGACGUAAUUUUUAUGACAACUUGUUUUUCCCGUAUGCUUCUUCGAGUGGACUAACAAUGGCCAGAGAAAGUUUCGCCGUUUGGAGUAAUUCUAUACAAUAUGAUAUGAUUUGUAACUAGUCCUAUUUGAAACGAGCCCGAUUCAUAUUAUGUGUAAAUUUCUGCUACACCCUGCCUUGUAUCCUCUGCGCAACGUUGAUAAUUUGUAUUAUUGAUAGUAUUAACGUAUUGUAUGAGCAUGUAUAUAUUUUCAGUACGAUAAAUGAAUAAUAUGUAUAUUCUUUUAUUCUUAAUUUAACACUGCAUUAUUUAAGUUGCGUAUUUCUGUACUAGAUUAUAAUAAAUGCUUUUAUAUUAUUAAA